rnacentral:rRNA from 1 species
GUUGAACGCUGGCGGCAGGCCUAACACAUGCAAGUCGAACGAGAGGCGGACGGGUGAGUAAUGUCUGGAAAACUGCCUGAUGGAGGGGGAUAACUACUGGAAACGGUAGCUAAUACCGCAUACCAUCAGAUGUGCCCUGAUGGGAUUAGCUUGUUGGUGGUGUAACGGCUAACCAAGGAGAAGAUCCCUAGCUGGUCUGAGAGGAUGACCGGCCACACUGGAACGGAGACACGGUCCAGACUCCUACGUGAGGCAGCAGUGGGGAAUCUUGCGCAAUGGGCGCAAGCCUUCUGCAGCCAUGCCGCGUGUAUGAAGAAGGCCUUCGGGUUGUAAAGUACUUUCAGCAGGGAGGCGUUACCCGCAGAAGAAGCACCGGCUAACUCCGUGCCAGCCGCCGCGGUAAUUC